rnacentral:rRNA from 1 species
GAUGAACGCUGGCGGCGUGCCUAAUACAUGCAAGUCGAACGCUGGAGAUCUAGCUUGCUAGAUCGAAGGAGUGGCGAACGGGUGAGUAAUACAUAAGCAACCUACCCACGAAGACUGGGAUAAUCUCUGGAAACGGGGACUAAUACCGGAUAGGUAAUCGGAAGGCAUCUUCUGGUUAUUAAAGGUUAAAAACACUGGUGGAUGGGCUUAUGGCGCAUUCGUUAGUUGGUGAGGUAACGGCCCACCAAGACGAUGAUGCGUAGCCGGCCUGAGAGGGUGAACGGCCACAUUGGGACUGAGACACGGCCCAGAAUCCUACGGGAGGCAGCAGUAGGGAAUUUUCGGCAAUGGGGGCAACCCUGACCGAGCAACGCCGCGUGAGUGAAGACGGCCUUCGGGUUGUAAAGCUCUGUUGUAAGGGAAGAACGGUAGAUAGAGAAUAUCUAAGUGACGGUACCUUACCAGAAAGCCACGGCUAACUACGUG